CCUUUUUGCUAUCUGCGAUCCAGACGAUUCGAACCUGCAGCAGGUUCGGGCCGAACGCAGUGAGGCAACGGAGCCGCUGGCGGCGACGGCCCGAAGGGCAAGCGAAGCGAGUCAUCCUGCACGACCCACCA
rnacentral:sRNA from 1 species